GCGUCCUUAGUUCAGUUGGUAGAACGUCGGUCUCCAAAACCGGAUGUCGGGGGUUCGAGUCCUCCAGGACGCGUCA
rnacentral:tRNA from 7 species